AAGCGGGGCGGAGUGGGAGGAGCUGGCUCCGGGGGCGCCCUGGUCCGCGAGGUCUCCCGCGCGCCUUUUUAGCUGCCCGCGGGCGGAGGGGACUCCGUGCCUGGUGAGUUCCCGCCCUGUGGGUCAUGGAGGCUCGGCCCAAGCUCCUGGACGCGACCACUGCGUCCCGCCACUGGACCCGAAAGCUGGUGCUGCUGCUGCCGCCGCUGCUGCUGCUCCUGCUGCUGCGGAGCCGAGCGCUCCAGGGCGUGGAGACCGAGAAGCGGGUCGGGACCCGCGCAAACGAGAGCGGCUUCCACCCCGGCCGAGCAGUGAGCCCCGGAGAGGCGCCCCCGGAGUCCUGCCCAGGAGGUUCCCCGCCUCUCAGCAAGAUUUCCAAGCCAGCACCUUAUUGGGAAGGAACAGCUGUGAUAAACGGAGAAUUCAAGGAGCUUAGACUGACUGACUACAUUGGGAAAUAUUUGGUGUUUUUCUUCUACCCACUGGAUUUCACCUUCGUGUGUCCAACUGAAAUCAUCGCUUUUAGUGACCGAAUUCAAGAAUUCAGAUCUGUAAAUACUGAAGUAGUAGCAUGCUCUGUUGAUUCUAAGUAUACCCACUUGGCCUGGAUUAAUACUCCUCGAGGACAGGGAGGAGUGGGGCCAAUAAAGAUUCCACUUCUUUCGGACCUGAACCAUCAGAUUUCAAAGGACUAUGGUGUAUACCUCGAGGACUCGGGCCAUACUCUUAGAGGCCUCUUUAUUAUUGAUGACAAAGGAAUCCUAAGACAGAUUACUCUGAAUGACCUUCCUGUGGGUAGAUCCGUAGAGGAGACACUGCGUUUGGUUCAAGCCUUCCAGUACACCGACAAGCAUGGAGAAGUGAUCAUUGGUAUGCUUCCAGGCCUCUGGCUUCCGCUAGUCUAUCAAUACUAGAUCCUCAAUGGGACUCCUCUCAGAUAUCCUGUUGUUGCCCUGUGCCAUGGAGAACCCUGAGGCUUUGCAUCUGCAGGACCGAACCCUUGAUGCCAUCCAGCAGUUCAUAGUAUGCCCUGCUGGCUGGAAACCUGGUAGUGAAACAAUAAUCCCAGAUCCAGCUGGAAAACUGAAGUAUUUCAACAAAAUGGCCUGAAAAAUACUUCAGUUGUGAUGUUUGAAGAGGGCAGUGUGUCCACUUCUCGAUAAAGGUCACUGUGUUAAUUACUAUAA